AUUGAACGCUGGCGGCAGGCCUAACACAUGCAAGUCGAGCGAGCGGCGGACGGGUGAGAAAUGUCUGGGAAACUGCCCGAUGGAGGGGGAUAACUACUGGAAACGGUAGCUAAUACCGCAUACCAUCAGAUGUGCCCAGAUGGGAUUAGCUAGUAGGUGGGGUAACGGCUCACCUAGGCGACGAUCCCUAGCUGGUCUGAGAGGAGUACCAGCCACACUGGAACUGGGACACGGCCCAGACGCCGACGGGAGGCAGCAGUGGGGAAUAUUGCACAAUGGGCGCAAGCCUGAUGCAGCCAUGCCGCGUGUGUGAAGAAGGCCUUCGGGUUGUAAAGCACUUUCAGCGGGGAGGCGUUACCCGCAGAAGAAGCACCGGCUAACUCCGUGCCAGCAGCCGCGGUAAUUC
rnacentral:rRNA from 1 species